CCCGCGUGGGUUUCAUCACUUUCAUGGGUGGUGGUGAUGAGGGGUCUUGUCUGAAUUUCAAUUACCAACGUGUGUAAAGAUGAGUGAAAUAAUUUGAACGAUUAAAGAGACGGGAGUCACUUUAUUGGCCUCUAAAUUCUUCAUGGCCAAAAGGCACUCUGAUUUGUCCUUGGUCAAAUCAUUGGAUCACAUGGCUUGACUGCUGUCCAUUUUGCCUUUUUUCCAUAAUGUCCUCCAUUUCGAUGUGUACCAGCUGUAUGUCUCAUCCGAUACUGAAACACUUUACAGAAGAAGUUUCACAGCCAGGUUAAGUCUGAGCUUCUGCAGUGCUGUCUAAUAACAUGCUCAUGGAUUUGUUGCAUCUUCAUUGAAGUCCAAUGUGGACA